rnacentral:rRNA from 1 species
UACGAAGGGGGCUAGCGUUGUUCGGAAUUACUGGGCGUAAAGCGCACGUAGGCGGGUCUGUAAGUAGGGGGUGAAAUCCCAGAGCUCAACUCUGGAACUGCCUUUGAUACUGGGUAUCUCGAGUAUGGAAGAGGUGAGUGGAAUUCCGAGUGUAGAGGUGAAAUUCGUAGAUAUUCGGAGGAACACCAGUGGCGAAGGCGGCUCACUGGUCCAUUACUGACGCUGAGGUGCGAAAGCCAGGGGAGCGAACGGG